rnacentral:rRNA from 1 species
GCGAACGCUGGCGGCAGGCCUAACACAUGCAAGUCGAGCGGCCGUAGCAAUACGGCAGCGGCAGACGGGAUAGUAACACGUGGGAACGCGCCCUUCGGUUCGGAAUAACUCAGGGAAACUUGAGCUAAUACCGGAUACGCCCUUACGGGGAAAGAUUUAUUGCCGAAGGAACGGCCCGCGUCGGAUUAGCUAGUUGGUGAGGUAAUGGCUCACCAAGGCGACGAUCCGUAGCUGGUCUGAGAGGAUGACCAGCAUCACUGGGACUGAGACACGGCCCAGACUCCUACGGGAGGCAGCAGUGGGGAAUAUUGGACAAUGGGCGCAAGCCUGAUCCAGCCAUGCCGCGUGGAUGAUGAAGGCCCUAGGGUUGUAAAGUCCUUUUAACGGGGAAGAUAAUGACGGUACCCGUAGAAUAAGCCCCGGCUAACUUCGU